UUGGUCAUUGAAGAACAACCGACAUAACUUUUUGAUUUUGUGUGGUUCCUUCGACACCUAAGGCAUGUGGUUGAUCUCCACGUGGGAUGUUUCAUCUUGUAAUUCAAAUGUGUAGUCAGAUUAAAUGAACACUACCCUACCCCGAGUUUAUUGUAAGGGUUUGUAGAUCUGAAAGAAAAACCUACUUCUAGGCUCGAAUUGGUUAACUAUGGAUUAACUCCUUAUCUCUCCCGUGUUUAGGGAUUUGAAACAAUGUUUGUACAUAAUCAGCAA
rnacentral:lncRNA from 1 species